rnacentral:rRNA from 1 species
AUUGAACGCUGGCGGCAUGCUUUACACAUGCAAGUCGAACGGUAACAGGGUGCUUGCACCGCUGACGAGUGGCGAACGGGUGAGUAAUGCGUCGGAACGUGCCGAGUAGUGGGGGAUAACGCAGCGAAAGUUGUGCUAAUACCGCAUACGUACUGAGGUAGAAAGUGGGGGACCUUCGGGCCUCACGCUAUUCGAGCGGCCGACGUCUGAUUAGCUAGUAGGUGAGGUAAAGGCUCACCUAGGCGACGAUCAGUAGCGGGUCUGAGAGGAUGAUCCGCGACACUGGGACUGAGACACGGCCCAGACUCCUACGGGAGGCAGCAGUGGGGAAUUUUGGACAAUGGGCGAAAGCCUGAUCCAGCCAUGCCGCGUGUCUGAAGAAGGCCUUCGGGUUGUAAAGGACUUUUGUCGGGGAGGAAAUCCCCAGCGUUAAUACCGCUGGGGGAUGACAGUACCUGAAGAAUAAGCACCGGCUAACCACGUGCCAGCAGCCGCAGUAAAAC